UUUAAUGACAUAAUCUUAGUUACUUGUGAGAAAACAUUCUACUUUGUGGACCCAAAUGUAAUGUGUAUUAUAUGUGAGAAAUGGAUAAUACUAAGAAAGUGUCAAAUGGUUAUCUUUGUAAAAUGGUUCAUGUUUAUGUUUCUUUCAAAUCAAAUCCACACUUUACUGGUCAUGUUUUUUUUAAUGUGAUUAUACCGUACACCAAAUUAUUAAUACCUUAUCUUAAUGCAUUUUUGUUUUAUCUCCCUGACAUGCUGUGUUGUAGAGGUUGGUAUUUAGUUGUGUUGUAGAGGUUGGUAUUUAGUUGUGUUGUAGAGGUUGGUAUUUAGUUGUGUUGUAGAGGUUGGUAUUUAGUUGUGUUGUAGAGGUUGGUAUUUAGUUGUGUUGUAGAGGUUGGUAUUUAGUUGUGUUGUAGAGGUUGGUAUUUAGUUGUGUUGUAGAGGUUGGUAUUUAGUUGUGUUGUAGAGGUUGGUAUUUAGUUGUGUUGAAGAGGUUGGUAUUUUUGUUGUGUUGUAGAGGUUGGUAUUUAGUUGGGUUGUAGAGGUUGGUAUUUAGUUGGGUUGUAGAGGUUGGUAUUUAGUUGUGUCGUAGAGGUUGGUAUUUAGUUGCAUAUAUUGUCUACCGGUAACUGAUCAAUGGAAUUCUGAUUCUGAACCAGAGGUUUGAUUUCUCCUCCCUUCAGUUGACGUCUCCCCUUUCAAUGUUAGACAAAUUUUACAAAUUUGGGUUAAUAUUGCAGUAUCUGUUUACAAAUGAAGAGUUUAGUUAACACUGUAAGGUUGGGAAGAGUAUUUUCCUUCCCUGAUGUGGUUCUUAAAUCACAACCAUGUGAACAGACAAGUAUUGUCACAUUUAAAAAUCUAACCAGGAUACAAAAGCAUUUACAAUUGAGCCUCGCUUUGUACAAAGGGGGUUUAACCCUUCCUCACUCAGACGCAGAGUGAAUAUUGCUAUGUGCAAACAGCAUCAAACCAGAACAAAGUGUCAGCCCCAAUUAGCCAGUGUGGACUUCAAACAGCAUCAAAUCAGAACAAAGUGUCAGCCCCAAUUAGCCAGUUUGGACUUCAAACAGCAUCAAACCGGAACAAAGUGUCAGCCCCAAUUAGCCAGUGUGGACUUCAAACAGCAUCAAACCAGAACAAAGUGUCAGCCCCAAUUAGCCAGUGUGGACUUCAAACAGCAUCAAACCAGAACAAAGUGUCAGCCCCAAUUAGCCAGUGUGGACUUCAAACAGCAUCAAACCAGAACAAAGUGUCAGCCCCAAUUAGCCAGUGUGGACUGCAAACAGCAUCAAACCAGAACAAAGUGUCAGCCCCAAUUAGCCAGUGUGGACUUCAAACAGCAUCAAACCAGAACAAAGUGUCAGCCCCAAUUAGCCAGUGUGGGCUUCAAAAAGCAUCAAACCAGAACAAAGUGUCAGCCCCAAUAAGCCAGUGUGGACUUCAAACAGAAUCAAACCAGAACAAAGUGUCAGCCCCAAUUAGCCAGUGUGGACUUCAAACAGCAUCAAACCAGAACAAAGUGUCAGCCCCAAUUAGCCAGUGUGGGCUUCAAACAGCAUCAAACCAGCACAAAGUGUCAGCCCCAAUUAGCCAGUGUGGACUUAAAACAGCAUCAAACCAGAACUAAGUGUCAGCCCCAAUUAGCCAGUGUGGACUUCAAACAGCAUCAAACCAGAACAAAGUGUCAGCCCCAAUUAGCCAGUGUGGACUUAAAACAGCAUCAAACCAGAACAAAGUGUCAGCCCCAAUUAGCCAGUGUGGACU